rnacentral:rRNA from 1 species
GGAUAACCUACCUAUAAGACUGAGAUAACUUCGGGAAACCGGAGCUAAUACCGGAUAAUAUAUUGAACCGCAUGGUUCAAUAGUGAAAGACGGUUUUGCUGUCACUUAUAGAUGGAUCCGCGCCGCAUUAGCUAGUUGGUAAGGUAACGGCUUACCAAGGCAACGAUGCGUAGCCGACCUGAGAGGGUGAUCGGCCACACUGGAACUGAGACACGGUCCAGACUCCUACGGGAGGCAGCAGUAGGGAAUCUUCCGCAAUGGGCGAAAGCCUGACGGAGCAACGCCGCGUGAGUGAUGAAGGUCUUCGGAUCGUAAAACUCUGUUAUUAGGGAAGAACAAAUGUGUAAGUAACUAUGCACGUCUCGACGGUACCUAAUCAGAAAGCCCCGGCUAACUUCGUGCCAGCAGCCGCGGUAAUACGAAGGGGGCUAGCGUUGUUCGGAAUUACUGGGCGUAAAGCGCACGUAGGCGGAUAUUUAAGUCAGGGGUGAAAUCCCAGAGCUCAACUCUGGAACUGCCUUUGAUACUGGGUAUCUUGAGUAUGGAAGAGGUAAGUGGAAUUGCGAGU